AUGUGGCAACGAAGAACAUUCAUCACUCUUAAGAAAAAAAGAACAUUCAUCACUCCAUCACGCACACAUCUUACAAGAGAAAAAUUGAGAGGGAGGGCUGUCUCAGAAGAAACGUCGGCUAAUGGAUGCACGCUGAAUAUUUCUUUUGAUGUCUUGCUGGUUCAAUAUUUUGACAGAAGCGCACGACCUCAUAGAUCUUUUAGCAAGGAUCAUAAGCCCAGAUGUUCAUAUUUCUUUGGAACAAUGGACAGCUACAAUAAUCCUUCGUAUACUUGCUCAAAAAGGAAAUUUUCUUUGAAUACAAGAUCAAAAUCAACAGCACAGGAGCACAUAUUUUGCUCAUAUUUCUUUCAAAUAAUUGACAGCUACAAGAAUCCUUCAUAUACUUGCUCAAAAAUAGAGAAGAUUCUUUGA
rnacentral:rRNA from 1 species